rnacentral:rRNA from 1 species
AUUGAACGCUGGCGGCAGGCCUAACACAUGCAAGUCGAGCGGAACGGCGGACGGGUGAGUAAUGACUAGGAAUCUACCUGGUAGUGAGGGAUAAAGUCGGGAAACGGGCGAUAAUACCGCAUACUUGCAAAUCAGCUUAGGUGGGAUUAGCUAGUUGGUGGGGUAAAGGACUACCAAGGCGGCGAUCCGUAAGUGGUCUGAGAGGAUGAUCAGUCACACUUGAACUGAGACACGGCCCAGACUCCUACGGGAGACAGCAGUGGGGAAUAUUCGGCAAUGGGCGAAAGCCUGACCCAGCAAUGCCGCGUGUGUGAAGAAGGUCUUCGGAUUGUAAAGCACUGUAAGUUGGGAGGCGUUAUCUAAAGAGUAAGCACCGGCUAACUACGUGCCAGCAGCCGCGGUAAUUC